rnacentral:rRNA from 1 species
UCGAGAAUCUUCCGCAAUGGGCGAAAGCCUGACGGAGCGACGCCGCGUGUAGGAUGAAGGCCCUCGGGUUGUAAACUACUGUCACGGGUUAUGAAUGUGCAUAUGUUAACAGCGUGUGUAUUGACGUAAGCCCGAAAGGAAGCACCGGCUAACUCUGUGCCAGCAGCCGCGGUAAUACAGAGGGUGCAAACGUUGUUCGGAAUUACUGGGCAUAAAGCGCGCGUAGGCGGCGACGUAAGUGUAGGGUGAAAUCCCACGGCUCACCCGUGUGAAUUGCCCCGCAUACUGCGUUGCUUGAGUGUGGUAGGGGAGAGCGGAACUCCUGGUGGAGCGGUGAAAUGCGUAGAUAUCAGGAGGAACACCGGUGGCGUAGGCGGCUCUCUGGUCCAUAACUGACGCUGAAGUGCGAAAGCUAGGGUAGCGAACGGGAUUAGAUACCCCGGUAGUCCCUGAGCGGGCUGGCAAGGCGCAU